CUUUGGCAGAUGGCUGUGUUUUAGGAGAACCUACAAACAGUUCUUGAGGCUCUAGGGUAGACUGAGGAGGGAGUAAAAUGAGUGAAAGUAAACAAGUGUGCCUCUGCUGUACCAGGACAUGAUAUGCACUUAAGCCUUUGGGCAUAUGAGAAAUCAACAUGUGAUUCAAGUGUAUAUAUAGAAUGAAUGGACUUGGGACAAAUGUUUGAAGACUUC
rnacentral:lncRNA from 1 species